ACGUAGGGUGCAAGCGUUGUUCGGAUUUAUUGGGCGUAAAGGGUUCGCAGGGGGUUUUUUAAGUCUGAUGUGAAAUCCAACGGCUCAACCGUUGAACUGCAUUGGAAACUGAAGAACUAGAGUACUGGAGAGGUAAGUGGAAUUCCUGGUGGAGCGGUGGAAUGCGUAGAUAUCAGGAGGAACACCAAGAGCGAAGGCAACUUACUGGACAGUUACUGACCCUCAGGAACGAAAGCAUGGGUAGCAAACAGG
rnacentral:rRNA from 1 species